GAUGAACGCUGGCGGCGUGCCUAAUACAUGCAAGUCGAGCGAACAGACGAGGAGCUUGCUCCUCUGACGUUAGCGGCGGACGGGUGAGUAACACGUGGAUAACCUACCUAUAAGACUGGGAUAACUUCGGGAAACCGGAGCUAAUACCGGAUAAUAUAUUGAACCGCAUGGUUCAAUAGUGAAAGACGGUUUUGCUGUCACUUAUAGAUGGAUCCGCGCCGCAUUAGCUAGUUGGUAAGGUAACGGCUUACCAAGGCAACGAUGCGUAGCCGACCUGAGAGGGUGAUCGGCCACACUGGAACUGAGACACGGUACAGACUCCUACGGGAGGCAGCAGUAGGGAAUCUUCCGCAAUGGGCGAAAGCCUGACGGAGCACCGCCGCGUGAGUGAUGAAGGUCUUCGGCUCGUAAAACUCUGUUAUUCGGGAAGAACAAAUGUGUAAGUAACUAUGCACGUCUUGACGGUACCUAAUCAGAAAGCCACGGCUAACUACGUG
rnacentral:rRNA from 1 species